AGCGACUUAUAUUCUGUAGCAAGGUUAACCGAAUAGGGGAGCCGAAGGGAAACCGAGUCUUAACCGGGCGUUAAGUUGCAGGGUAUAGACCCGAAACCCGGUGAUCUAGCCAUGGGCAGGUUGAAGGUUGGGUAACACUAACUGGAGGACCGAACCGACUAAUGUUGAAAAAUUAGCGGAUGACUUGUGGCUGGGGGUGAAAGGCCAAUCAAACCGGGAGAUAGCUGGUUCUCCCCGAAAGCUAUUUAGGUAGCGCCUCGUGAAUUCAUCUCCGGGGGUAGAGCACUGUUUCGGCAAGGGGGUCAUCCCGACUUACCAACCCGAUGCAAACUGCGAAUACCGGAGAAUGUUAUCACGGGAGACACACGGCGGGUGCUAACGUCCGUCGUGAAGAGGGAAACAACCCAGACCGCCAGCUAAGGUCCCAAAGUCAUGGUUAAGUGGGAAACGAUGUGGGAAGGCCCAGACAGCCAGGAUGUUGGCUUAGAAGCAGCCAUCAUUUAAAGAAAGCGUAAUAGCUCACUGGUCGAGUCGGCCUGCGCGGAAGAUGUAACGGGGCUAAACCAUGCACCGAAGCUGCGGCAGCGACACUGUGUGUUGUUGGGUAGGGGAGCGU
rnacentral:rRNA from 1 species